GCCCGCUUGGCUUAGUGGUACAGCGUCUCACUCGUAGAAAAGCGUCAUGAGAAGAUCCUCGGUUCGAUUCCGAGAGUGGGCA